rnacentral:lncRNA from 1 species
AAGAAGAAGCCUCUGGUGCUUGCUUGCAAGCUUGUUUGCUGCAUGGACCUCAACAUCACAUUUUGCACACAGUGCUGCCUCAUCUGCACAGCAAAUCACAGUAGCUGGUGCCCUCUCACACACGUCACACUGAAUCUUCAUCUUCUUCUCACUCACGUUGACCUCCUACCUCAAAAUUCCUGACCGUUUUCAAGCUUUCACCCCACUUUCAGGAUAUACCCAGAUGCUAGAUCGGACUAAAAAUGAAGAUUACACACACACAAACACAUAUUCUCUAGAUUCAACAGACACCCACAUGGAGGAAAGUUGCAAAAAGGCCAGUAACACCAGCACAAAGGUGUAUGCCCC